GUUGUUGCAAUAGUAAUUCUGCUCAGUACGAGAGGAACCGCAGAUUCAGACAAUUGGCUCAUGCACUUGCCUGAAAAGACAAUGGUGCGAAGCUACCAUCUGUUGGAUUAUGAUUGAACGCCUCUAAAUCAGAAUCCGUGCUAGAACGCAACGAUUCCUUUCUCUGGACGACUUACGCGAACAAGAAUAGUGGCGCGACUCGUCGUGCCUCCUGUGUCACAACGUGCCCAUGGAGCAGACUAUGCACCUAAGCACUACAGCGACCAAAAUCUAAAUUUUCCAGAGCUAAAUCCUUUGCAGACGACUUAAAUAAAGAACGGGGUAUUGUAAGCAGUAGAGUAGCCUUGUUGCUACGAUCUGCUGAGAUUAAGCCCUUGUUCUAAGAUUU